UUAGCAGGGGAUAACAUUUGGAAACAGAUGCUAAUACCGUAUAACAAUGACAACCGCAUGGUUGUUAUUUAAAAGAUGGUUCUGCUAUCACUAAGAGAUGGUCCCGCGGUGCAUUAGCUAGUUGGUAAGGUAAUGGCUUACCAAGGCGAUGAUGCAUAGCCGAGUUGAGAGACUGAUCGGCCACAAUGGGACUGAGACACGGCCCAUACUCCUACGGGAGGCAGCAGUAGGGAAUCUUCCACAAUGGGCGAAAGCCUGAUGGAGCAACGCCGCGUGUGUGAUGAAGGGUUUCGGCUCGUAAAACACUGUUGUAAGAGAAGAAUGACAUUGAGAGUAACUGUUCAAUGUGUGACGGUAUCUUACCAGAAAGGAACGGCUAAAUACGUGCCAGCAGCCGC
rnacentral:rRNA from 1 species